UAUUGGUCAAUGGACGAGAGUCUGAACCAGCCAAGUAGCGUGAAGGAUGACUGCCCUAUGUGUUGUAAACUUCUUUUAUAUGGGAAUAAAACAGGGUAUGCAUACCCUCUUGUAUGUACCAUAUGAAUAAGGAUCGGCUAACUCCGUGCCAGCAGCCGCGGUAAUACGGAGGAUCCGAGCGUUAUCCGGAGUUAUUGGGUUUAAAGGGUGCGUAGGCUGUGAGGUAAGUCAGCGGUGAAAUGCCCCCGCUCAACGGGGUGAAGUGCCAUUGAUACUGCCUUGCUGGAAUGCGGAUGCCGUGGGAGGAAUGUGUGGUGUAGCGGUGAAAUGCAUAGAUAUCACACAGAACACCGAUUGCGAAGGCAUCUCACGAAUCCGCGAUUGACGCUGAUGCACGAAAGCGUGGGUAUCAAAC
rnacentral:rRNA from 1 species